GGAGGUGAAACCUACAAUGUCUGAGAAGAAUAUGGUCACCUGGAACAAAGCAGGAGAACGACUCCAUGACUGACUCUGUUCUUCUUCCACUUUGAAGACAGAUCCUGAUGAUAAAAGAGUUCAUGUCUCUGCAGUAUCUGGGUGAUUGCAUGUGAUAUGUUUUCUCAGUGACCUCAUCUCUUACAUGGCGUAUUACCUGGGCAGGGUUAGAGAAACCUCGUUACCUGAUGCAGAUUUUUCCAAGGAGAUUAUUUUUUUUUUUAAAUAAAGAAUAUUUGUAUUAAAAAAAAGGAAAUAAAACUUUUAAGAGAGAAAAGCAGGUGGCUGACAGUAGAAUGUAUUCAUGUGUGAGUGAAGUGAAAAGCAGAAACCGUAACUGUUUUGCAUGUGGACAGAUUUCUCUAGAGCUCAUGAUGGUUUAUAAAUGUCGUCUUAAACAUUCUUAUUUGUCAGAUCUUGCAGAAAUGUGAAUCCUCACUGACCCUGACAUCCUCCAGCACUGCUCUAACCAUGAUGACUGUGAAAGUCCAAACGUCCAGAGGCAUCUGUCCAUUUGAUCAGCCGCUGCAGCUCUAGGUCCUGCAUCGCCUCCCUGCUGUGGUGCUGCCGGGUCCCCACCAUCGACUGUAUAUAGAAACUGGACUGAGUGACUCCUCCCCCGGCAAUCCAAACAGGAAGUACCUGCAGCUCCAAGAAGCCAAAAUCAACAGCUGUUAAAUAAACUCAGCCGUUCUAUUGGUUUUUCAAAUCCCAAACCGACCAAUCAGAUGCCCCAAUAAAAUCAUGUGGUUCCCUCUGGCUCCGCCUCAAAGGCUUGAUUGACAGAUUCUCCUGGUCACUUUCAGUGGAAGGGGUGUGGCCUUCCAACAGGCUGGCUCCUGGAACAAACGUUGCCAUAGAAACAUGAAACUCAAACCAACUUGGACCAAUCACUGUCGACUGGCUCCAACAUGGCGACUGAAUUAGCUUCAUUUUGCUGGAGGGAAGGCCUUUUCUAUGGAUGAUGUCACACUUGCUCAGUCCAGUUCUAUGUACAGUCAAUGGUCCCAGCCUGUGAUGCUGCACUUGAAUGGCUAUACAGUCAUCCAGAGGACGACGUCCCAAUAUGUUCUCGUUUCCCCCAACCAGCUGUUUCCUUCUGUUCAUCUCCAUCAGGUCGGGGGGGGCAAAGCACUUUGUUACAAGUGAAAAGUGCUGUAUGAAUAAAGAUUGAUUUAAAGAUUGGAUCAGGAUGCUGGAGCCUAUCCCAUCAGAGCACUUUCUCUAUGGACCUUCUUCCACUGUCUGUUUUCUGCUGUGGAUUCUGGAAGCUCUUGUUGGUGAAGACCUGCUUCCCCUCACCUGUCCAACAUGAAAACGCCGUCUUUCCUUUCUAGACUUCUCAGACUCUCCGCCCCCCGUAAAGCACCACCCCCUCCCCCACAUCAGGGAGCUUUCUCCGCUGCUUCAAACCUCUUCAAUGAUCCAGAUGCAAUCUGACCACAAACAGCUUGUUUUAUCUCCGAUGAAUAUGGAACAGGACAAUUAUCUGUAAUUACGCCAACAAUAGCAACAAAGGCAGCAGACACACACGUGCAGCGGGUGCAUGUGCACGUAGACGUGCACCUCCUGGCAGCAUCACAUGAUCCAGAUUGAUCAGGUUCACGUUGAAGCAGAAUGAUGCCAGAAUCCCCUUUGCUGAGAGAUCAUGUGACAGCUCACCUUCAGCUGAUGGCAGCGUCCUCAAACGUCGUCAUUAUUCUAUCGAUUCGUGUGACAUCACGACUUCAUCUCCUCAGGAUGUGCAGCACAUUUCUAUCAAAAUCCAUAUCAAUCAAUCAAUCAGUUUGUUUUCUGAGGUUUGACUGUUUCUCUUUGAUAAUCUUAAUGAACGUCAGAGUUUUAUAUAAAUUAGAACAUGAGAAGUUUGAUGACAGACUGCAGACAAUCCUGAUGUUUUGGGACCUUGAUGCUAUUUUUUAUUUGUUUUCUUUCAUUCUUUAGUGUGAAUAAUUAUGUCUAAUGUGUAAAUCAUAUUACCUUGGGUGGGUAGUAAUAACCUGUUUAUUCUACUCACUCCUUUUUAUCACAUUUCUCUAUUUUUUGUGCCUAAAAUAAAAAUGAAUCCAUCAUGAGGGAGAAAACAGCCUCUGGUUUAUAACUUCCAGCUGCUGGUUUCUCCGUCCUCCUCCACUUACCCUCUCAUAACUCUCUGCU